GCGGUCCCUGCCUCUGAGUCUCUCUCGACCAUGGCCAAAUUCGUCAUCGCGGGUAGAGCAGAUUGUCCAUAUUAUGCUAAAACAGAACUUGUGGCAGACUAUUUACAAAAGAAUCUUCCUGAUUUUCGGAUACAUAAAAUCACACAACGUCCUGAGGUUUGGGAGGAUUGGCUGAAAGAUGUGUGUGAAAAGAAUAAGUGGAGUCACAAGAAUUCCCCUAUUAUCUGGAGAGAGCUGUUGGAUCAUGGAGGAAAGGGUUUGCUUUUGGGAGGAUAUAAUGAGUUCCUGGAGCAUGCUCAGCUUUACUAUGAUGUCACCUCUAGCAUGACGACUGAGCUGAUGAUGGUAAUUGCUCAAGAGAACCUGGGGGCACAUAUAGAAAAAGAGCAGGAGGAAGAAGCCCUGAAAACUUGCAUCAACCCCUUGCAGGUCUGGAUCACCAGGUGGGACAGUCAAAUCCCAGGAUUCAUGAGAUUUACUUUUUAUAUUUAGAAAGGACAAUGAGAUGGGAUUAAUUUCAUGAUGGAAGAAUACCUGAAUGUCAGGUUUGAAAUUUGUGUGUAUGUAUACUUAUAUGUAUACACAUAUACAUAUGCCUGUGUGUGUGUGUGUGUUUGUAUCCUUCAUAUAACUCAUAAAUGAGUUUUAUGUUUUACAGACACAAACACAGACACUUGGUCUAAAAACAACUCUAUAGCAUGGCUGCUUUGCAGAAGCUCACC
rnacentral:sRNA from 1 species